AUUGAACGCUGGCGGCAGGCCUAACACAUGCAAGUCGAACGGUAACAGGAAGAAGCUUGCUUCUUUGCUGACGAGUGGCGGACGGGUGAGUAAUGUCUGGGAAACUGCCUGAUGGAGGGGGAUAACUACUGGAAACGGUAGCUAAUACCGCAUAACGUCGCAAGACCAAAGAGGGGGACCUUCGGGCCUCUUUCCAUCGGAUGUGCCCAGAUGGGAUUAGCUAGUAGGUGGGGUACCGGCUCACCUAGGCGACGAUCCCUAUCUGGUCUGAGAGGAUGACCAGCCACACUGGAACUGAGACACGGCCCAGACUCCUACGGGAGGCAGCAGUGGGGAAUAUUGCACAAUGGGCGCAAGCCUGAUGCAGCCAUGCCGCGUGUAUGAAGAAGGCCUUCGGGUUGUAAAGUACUUUCAGCGGGGAGGAAGGGAGUAAAGUUAAUACCUUUACUCAUUGACGUUACCCGCAGAAGAAGCACCGGCUAACUCCGUG
rnacentral:rRNA from 1 species